rnacentral:lncRNA from 1 species
AAACCAGUACAUCCCAGUAUCCCCCAGUGUCCCUGUCCCCAGUGUCCCCAGUCUGUCCCAGUCCCUCCCAGUGCUCCCAGUACCUCCCAGUAUCCCUGUCCCCAGUGCUCCCAGUCUGUCCCAGUCUGUCCCAGUCUGUCCCAGUGUCCCCAGUCCAUCCCAGUCCGUCCCAGUCCCCCCAGUACCUCUCGAUGUCCCUGUCCCAGUCUGUCCCAGUCCGUCCCAGUCCGUCCCAGUCCGUCCCAGUGCUCCCAGUGCUCCCAGUACCUCUUGAUGUCCCUGUCCCAGUCUGUCCCAGUCUGUCCCAGUCCCCCCCAGUCCUUCCCAGUCCCCCCAGUACCUCUCGAUGUCCCUGUCCCCAGUCUGUCCCAGUCCGUCCCAGUCCCUCCCAGUCCGUCCUAGUGCUCCCAGUGCUCCCAGUACCUCUCGAUGUCCCUGUCCCAGUCUGUCCCAGUCCGUCCCAGUCCGUCCCAGUCCGUCCCAGUGCUCCCAGUGCUCCCAGUACCUCUCGAUGUCCCUGUCCCCAGUCUGUCCCAGUCCGUCCCAGUCCCUCCCAGUCCCUCCCAGUGCUCCCAGUACCUCUCGAUGUCCCUGUCCCCAGUCCCUCCCAGUCUGUCCCAGUCCGUCCCAGUCCCCUCCAGUGCCUCCCAGUCCCUCCCAGUGCUCCCAGUACCUCUCGAUGUCCCUGUCACCAGUGUCCCCAGUCUGUCCCAGUCCGUCCCAGUCCCUCCCAGUCCCUCCCAGUGCUCCCAGUACCUCUCCCAGUCCCUGUCCCAGUCUGUCCCAGUCUGUCCCAGUCCCUCCCAGUGCUCCCAGUGCUCCCAGUACCUCUCCCAGUCCCUGUCCCCAGUCCGUCCCAGUCUGUCCCAGUCCCUCCCAGUGCUCCCAGUACCUCUCCAUGUCCCUGUCCCCAGUCUGUCCCAGUCUGUCCCAGUCUGUCCCAGUCCCUCCCAGUCCCUCCCAGUGCUCCCAGUGCCCCCAGUCCCCCCGCCCCCCCGGU